UUAAGAACACAGGUGAAGUCUACAGCACUUGAUCUCAUUUGAUCUCAGAAGCUAAGCAGGAUCGUGCCCAGGUAGUACUUGGAUGGCAAGGAUCACAUAUAGAGUAUGACACAAUGUGGAUCCUGGGCCUUAGG
rnacentral:rRNA from 1 species